UACGUAGGGGGCAAGCGUUGUCCGGAUUUAUUGGGCGUAAAGAGCGUGUAGGCGGUUCGGUAGGUCCGUUGUGAAAACUCGAGGCUCAACCUCGAGACGCCGAUGGAAACCCCCGAACUAGAGUCCGGAAGAGGAGAGUGGAAUUCCCAGUGUAGUGGUGAAAUACGUAGAGAUUGGGAAGAACACCAGUGGCGAAGGCGGCUAUCUGGACGGUUUCUGACGCUAAGACGCGAAAGCGUGGGGAGCAAACAGG
rnacentral:rRNA from 1 species